GCCGCAGGCCUUCGCCAGCACCCGGGCGUUCUGCCUGCGAUGGGCACACUCCAGCUGCGCAGGUUCCCGCGGGCUGCGGGGCACGGGCAGGUGCGUCCACACCAGCCCUGUGCUUCACGCGUGUUCUCUGUAACAGCUCCACGGAAGUCUCGGCCACUUGCGUCUCCACCUGCCCGUGUCCUGCAUUUCCAAUUCUGCUUCUACAUCAGAACCUCACUCCCCCUCCUGCUUUCUUGAGACAGCGGUCAACGUCUGUUACAUUCUGUUACUGUUGUGCAACUCAGCGACCCACAGUCAUAUCACAACACAGCCCAGACGCCGUUCUCGACUCCGUAUUAACUCGUUUGCUCCCCAUGACCGCCCCACGAGAAACACACCGUCGUCACCCUUUCAGAGGUGGAACGGAGGCACAGGGAGGCUGAGAAGCCUGCCGAGGUCACACAGCUCACGGGAGGCCUGCGCCCAGCGUGCCGGCACCGCUCUGGUUUUGUGCUGUUUAACAGCGCCUAGCUUCCCGCUGCGGCCACCGCUGCUCCGAGGCGCACGUUCAGCUGGAUCACACUUGCAUCUCAAGAGGGUUUGCUGCCUCUUUUCUGAUCCUUGGUGAGGCCUAAAUUUGGUGCCAUCCCACCUGGCUCAGACUUUCUGCUUCUGCUAAACCUCUAAACCAAGGGAGUCCGGCCCCGGAACCCACCGCGUCUACCUCCAUCCUGACUUGGGAGCGUGAUUUUACGCAUGACAGCAAGAAGUCGCUUACGACUUCAGGAAGGAAGUUUGAGAGUUAAUCUCUUUUUAAGAAGCAGAAAUCCUUGUCAUUCUCCUUCUUCUUCUUUCAAAAGAAAGGCCCCUGAAGGGCACAAGAACCAGAAAAUAUGGGAAAUGCUUUGGAACGUUAGUUGGCAAAAUCGCAAGUGCCCAAAGGCUCGUGGUGAGCCGGCCACUAAGGAGAGCCCCUCCAACAGGCGACACGGAAAGAGUCAGGACCCAGGUCUGGUACCAAAGUGCAGCUCACUAAACACAGAAAGGGGAGUACAGAUAGUCCUGAAUACAGUUAUUCAGGAACAACCAAGGUUCAAAUAAGCGAUGUCUUCUUCGUCACGGGAGGAGGGAAAACCGGUAACAGGUGUUGCUUCAACGGCAGCCGAACUGAACGGAUGCAUUUUGGAAACACGCAGAUCCCAGCACGGAGAGUAAGAGCGUCGGGCCCUGGGGUGCCCGGGGACAUCCACGAAGGGGGAUGGCGCAGCAUCCUGCCACGGGGAUCAGGUCAGAAUGCAGACGGAUGACGUGGAACAGAAGUGCCAUUAUAGACGAAAAGAGCCAGAGCCCCCGAGAUCAAAAGCAAGCUACGAGUAAUCGUAAGGAAAUAAGAUAAAUAUACGGAUGAAACAAUCACCUACUUCUGAAACGGCCAUGCCCUGUGAGCAUCAUGACCACAUAAGAAGGAGGGUGAUAACGGCGAGGGUGAGGAGGACACAGAACGGGUGUCCUUGGGAAGUCACAUGAGUCGGAUGAAGGGGCCACCAAUUCUGCAUGAGAAAGGGGGAGAAAGCAUUUUGUGUUUUGGCAAAUAAGCACGUAAAAAGAGUCUGGUGAUUGGUUUGCCCCGAAUCAGAGGACAAAUGACUAAGUUUCUUUUAAAAAACUGAGUAACUUUCCCAACGGCCUCUUUCGCUGAAAUGACUAGAUCUCUAGGUACGACGUUAUGUUGCAGAGUAAAAUGCGGAAGGGAACCUUCCAUCCACUACGUCUGCUGCGAUAUGGUACCGGGCUGUUUAUCAGAAGACACGGAGGUGGACAAUCUAAUUGUCCUUCCUCAGCCCAUGAUACUGACACACCCGGUGGUGUUAACUUUUCAAGACAUUGACCCAGCUCUUCAGAUGGCCCAGAUGAGCAAGCGUCUGGCCUGCAGGAGGCCCUUCCUGGACGAGACUUUCACAGCAUCACCUCCUCAGGAAGCGGCCCCCUCUUGAUCUGACUGCAGGGAGGAGGUGCUGGGGGCCUUCAGGACGUGACUCCCUUUUCUGUCUGGAAGCCCUGGGAGCCAGCGAGGGACGCAGCGUCCUUCUCUCACCACAGAAGCUUACACACAGGUCACUAGGGUCCCUUAGCAGAUGAGACCCGGAGAGGCUUGUAACCAGCCAAGGCCCAGGGUGAUCCGGUCAACUCUCAUCUUUAUCCACAGGUCCUAGGCUGCUGGGUAGGGACAUCCCAGGGCUCAGGGUUCAGGCUGCGAGUGGAGCAGUGGACAGGCCAGAGGACAGUCACAGAGGGAUGAAGGGCAGAAAGCACCAGCGGGUGCUCCUUCAGUAAAAGCCAUGGCUCGGUGGCAGUUAGAGACCCAGCAGCUGAAACGUCAACAGUUUGGUUGGGUCAAGGUGCCGCACAAACGCUUAAUUAAGAGCCCAAAGAAUAGAAAUGAACACCGCUGACUAACCACAGAAAUCAAAGGUCUCUAAGAGGACUCCGAGUGUGGGGACGGCCACCAUCGGUGCCCCUUCUGAAGAACCCGGGCAAAGCUGGGACCCGGCACGAUCCACCUGACCGUCCUUGAUCUUCUUCUCUAGGAAAAGCGCCGUAAGUGCAAGACGGGCUCUAGCCUUCACUCGCUCGACGUCCCUUUCCCCCCGAGCAGCCACUGCCUACUUACGCCCGUCUACAAGCCUCGUUAAGUAGAAAAGCUACUGCUUUUCUCCUACAUCUUUUGUUUCACGUUCCUUCCCGUCACCUACAUCCCCUCAUGGGUGAGUGGCAGCGACCGUAACCAACGCUGACGGCCCAAUACAGGGGGGCAGGAACGUCACAGGCUCUUGAGCACAUUUAGGCUGUCGGCGUUUCCUGAAAUCUGGGACUGAAGUGGCAACAGGCCACUGACACCCCUCCGCGGCACCGCCGUCCAAGGGACCAUCUUCCCAUCAACCUUCCUGCCGGCGGACGGGUCCAGGUCAGACUUUGUAGCAGGUGGAGUUAGAAUAGCAAGCUGGAUGGGGUUUUGAAAACUCAUGUCUAUUUUUUAUUUUCACUGAUUAAAAAUAUUAGAUAGGCAUGAAACUCAUCACUUCUGUGAGUAAGAAAGGACUUCUUUGCAAACACGUGUCUUUGAGAGCAAAGAAACCCAAGACCCUCGUGUGAUCGGAACACAGAGCGUUCACGGCCGACACCCCUCACGCGGUCUAGUCAGGCCACGUCGCGUUUCUCCCAAGUGUCCGGGGAGAUACGGCCUGGCGCGUGUUGGGGUGAGGUGAACCGAGGUGGGGUUUCCCAACUGCAGCGAUUACGGCGUCUCGCUGAAAUGAACCAUGGAACCAGUCCCGGAUUAGCCACUCAGUGCAUCCCGCCCUCCGGGCCUUGGCCUUCAAGAGCGGUGCUCCUGGGAUGCCACGGUCAGAGGAGUACCAUCAGGCGAGGCUCUGAGAGGCGGCAGGUGCACGUGCACGGGCUUAUCCCUGUUCCGACCAUGUUCCAAAGGCUCUUUGGGGUUCCCUCCAAAAUAACAGAAAUAUACAAUAGCAGCUACUUUAUUAUUCUAUAUGUAAUGCCACGUAACGGAAGUACAAAAGUUCUCAUUGUUCUUAGGACCUGAAGGCACAAAGGAACUUAGAAGACGGUCUUGGCUCUUUGAGUGAGGUCAGCAUUACCAAAUUCAGGUAAUUUGGCAAAAAAACCAAAAACCAAAACAAACAAACAAAAAAAACAAAGAAAAGAAUUGUUUGCCAAUUCAGAAGGAGGAAAAGCUAGGACAAAAAUGUUGCAGUUACAGGCACGUACCACAUGCAGAAGACCACACAAGCGGAGGGAGGAGGAGCUUCAAGAAGCUCCCAACACCACCGCAGGAAAGAAGCUAGUACCGCGGCCUUGACUCCAACUCCGUCUGGUUCUACUCGCUGCCUCCGGGUCUCAAAACGUGGCCGUAUUUCACGCUGUGAGAGCAACAAUGGCUUCCUUCUGUUUCCAUCACACUGUUCAGAAUCUGGAAAGUUACAGGGAAAUGGGGGUCUAGCCUGGGUGACCGGUGCUGUCCUUGGUGUGGCCUUUGGACGAGCUCACGGUGCCGGCGUGGGGUAAGCUGUCGGCCACACAAUCCUGCUUGAGCCACACAGCCGAGCUUUCUACCCAAGUCGCGUACCCAGAGUGUCAGAACUCUGCCUCCUCGCUUUGCUGUUUAGGAACACGAGCCGAUCCACCUGAUAGGUGGCGAGUUAAACGUGCCUUCAGAUUUUUAGUUCCCCCUCCACCAUUGCUGCUGUUUCCCCGCGCGAAGCCAAGAACAGCAGACCGCGUGAGAAAUAAGGCGUCUGCUGACAGGGGACCCCUGGUAAAAGUAACGAAACACAGAGGACUUUCGCCUCUCGCCCCGAACGACCUGGUCAUUUUGUUAAGAGGACGCGGGGCAGACUUUGCAGAGCACGCGGCCAGGUUUUGGUGAAGUGAUUCUGCGUCACCCAGCAGAGUCUGCAGCUGAGUCACAGCUGAUUCACGUGCGUCUCGGGGGGCGGGGGGGGGGAAGCAAGUCAGCGUCUCUGCAAGUUGUCUGGGACGAGCCAAAGAGACCAGACUGACCAGGUCUAUAAUCAUAGAGCGGCAACCAGGGUGUGGGUAGACGCCGUGUGUUUUUUGCCCUCGGAACCGAGCGUUCUGGGCACGUGCGUGGCAAAGCACGUGGAUAAACGCGCUUCCUCUGAUGCCUAACUUGAAGGGCACGAAAACCACUGGAGGAGAAGAGCGAAGCCCCCGGAGGGCGAACAGCAGGAGCGCGCGCACAACGCCCCGCUGCCCUCAUCGUCAAGAAGGAACUGGCGUCAGCAUGAAGACUUCCGUGGCCAGAAGAGCCAGUCAGCCCCCGGGCUUGCAGCAGCCAGGCGUCCCGGGCCGGGAGGAAGCGGAGGCUGACCACGAGAGGAAACCACGCACGGGGCGGAAACGGAACACAACAAAACGGCGGGUGAGUCAGGGCUGAAAGGCCUCGACCCCGUGAGAAGGCGGCUAUUUCCAAACAGAGCCCUCCGCGGGUGCCCACGCCCCCCACCAAGAACGGAGCGUGGACGAAGGGGCUCGACCCACGGUUCUCCUGUUCGCGCCAGUCCCACCGACCCCACCAGCUGACCACCCCAGUGAUGCAAGGCACCUGCAGCCCCCCGGGACGGUGCCCGAGACUCCAGGGUUCCUGGCUCCCAGGCGGACGGGCCCGGCCUGGACCUCGAGCCCACCUCUGGGCUCCUUUCCCGCUGCUCCCGGCCCCCGCCUCGCCCCAUUCUCCUGCCCUUCCGCAGGCUGCUGUGCGGGCAGCUCUGAGGUGGCCACGCUCUCUGGCCUGGCAGCAGUCUCUGGUCCCCCAGCCUCCCAUAAGCCCGUGAACGCCCACCGCCGUUGGAAGCCCGGAGCACCAGGCACACUUCCGGGGAGCACCCCCCAGCCCGCCGCAGGCAGGACGGGGCAUGUGCCACACGCGCCCGCAAGCGGGGGGACAGUGACGCGAGAGCCGGUACAAUGCCUCUGCCUGCUGGCCUCCCCGAGACACGGUGGGCUCCCGAGGCCGGUGCUGGUCACCGGGGUGGCCCAGGGCUCGGAGGCGUGUGGCCUGGGACUGGGAGGGCGCCCAAAGAGGCAGGGCGGGGAGGCCUUCGGCACAGCCCUGCGCUGCGACCCGCCGCUUCUGCCCCUUGCGGGGACCACAAGCACAUCUUCCUGGGCCGCACAAUUAGACCCCCUUGUGCCACCACGCCCCGUUCCCUCCGAGGGGCCGAUCCACGGCUGGAGGAGAGCCGAGGGCGGUGGUGCGGCAACGCUCCAAGGGCAUCCCACACCUUGCUGAUCGGCAACCAGGAUGCCUCUGAGGAUCUUUGGUAAAGCGAGUUUCCCAGGUCCCGCUUGCGAUUCUCAUUUAGCAGGUCUGGGGACGCGUCUGAGAAUUUUAUUUCCGAGGUUUUAAUUGUCAUAUUUCAAACUUACAGAAAGCUCGCACGCAUAGAGUACUCGGGAUUCAGAAAUACUCUUACUCGGAUUUGCCAACUGCUUUCUUUUUGCCCUGUUUGCUUCCUUACUCGCUCUGUUUUUUUCCUGAACCAUUUGAGAGUGAGCUGCAGACAACAUGCCCCUUUGCCCCAAACACAUCAGUGGAUACUUCCUAAAACCGAGGCCUUUCUCUUUCUUAUAUGAUACAGGAGACUGUUCUGUUCCCUAAGUGAUUUUGAAUAGGACGGCCACCUUCCUGUUUUAUCAAACUUUCCCCAAAUUUUAUCAAAUUGAUAUGAUUCAGGAAGUAUCUAACACGAAGUAUUCCUGCAGAAUGGUAAAACAGCAACAGGUUAUUCUGAGGCCACAAGGUUAUGGUAAGAGCUUACAGUGAUGAAUCUGAGUAUUUUGAUGAACUGGAAGAGAACAUCCAUAAAAAGAAGCGCUCUACUGGGCUGCGUUUCGGGAUGUGUGCUGGGCAGCCUCUAACUGGCCCCCGCUGGUCCCUGCCCCUGGUACGAGUCCUUUGUGGAACCCUCCCUCCUAGAGUGUAGGCUGGACCCAGUGACUCCCUUCUCAGCAACAGAACACAGCGAAGGCGAGGGGAUGUCCCUUCUGAAGUUAGGUUACAAAGAGGCUGUGGCUUCUGUCUCAGGUGCUCCUUCUCUUGCACGGGCUCUGUGAGUGGUCCCGUGGAGAGGCCCACGUGGCGGGGAACCCACAUCCGGGCCCCGAAGCUCCCGGCAGGUGUGCGUGUGAGCCCGUCCAGCUCUGGGGGGCCUGCAGCGCUGCCCGACAUCAGAGGCACCCCGGUGAGCCAUGUGCAGAUUCACAGAAAGUGGGAGAGAGCCACUGUUUACUGUUCGGGGAUAAUUUGUUGUCCGGCAAUAGAAAAGACGGGAUGGCUAGCGUGGAAUAUGAGAAAACUCAUGACUUUAAAAUGUGCCGGAUUCCACGGAGAGCUGAAUGGAGUAAUAAAAGGUGGAGGGGUCCUGGCCGGAGAGGCGGGAGGUGGAAUACUUCUCCUGAUUAUUUAACCUCUCUCUCAACCAAAUUCUUCCUAGUGACUUUUAAAAAUGUUUUUAUUUUUAAAAUACAUGUGCAUAGUUUAAAGGAAUCAAGCACUAUAAAAAUAUUGUGAAUAAAGAUUCAUUCCUGCUUUUGUUCCCCA